GAUGAACGCUGGCGGCGUGCCUAAUACAUGCAAGUCGAGCGAACAGACGAGGAGCUUGCUCCUCUGACGUUAGCGGCGGACGGGUGAGUAACACGUGGAUAACCUACCUAUAAGACUGGGAUAACUUCGGGAAACCGGAGCUAAUACCGGAUAAUAUAUUGAACCGCAUGGUUCAAUAGUGAAAGACGGUUUUGCUGUCACUUAUAGAUGGAUCCGCGCCGCAUUAGCUAGUUGGUAAGGUAACGGCUUACCAAGGCAACGAUGCGUAGCCGACCUGAGAGGGUGAUCGGCCACACUGGAACUGAGACACGGUCCAGACUCCUACGGGAGGCAGCAGUAGGGAAUCUUCCGCCAUGGGCGAAAGCCUGACGGAGCAACGCCGCGUGAGUGAUGAAGGUCUUCGGAUCGUAAACCUCUUUUAUUAGGGAAGAACAAAUGUGUAAGUCACUAUGCACGUCUUGACGGUACCUAAUCAGAAAGCCCCGGCUCCCUACGUG
rnacentral:rRNA from 1 species